GCUGGGCGUGCUUGUGCAUGCCUGUAAUCCCAGCUACUCAGAGGCUGAGGCAGGAGGAGCACAUAUUCAAGGCUGGCCUCAGCAAUUUAGUGAGGCUGUAAGCAACUUAGCUAGACCCAGUCUCAA
rnacentral:sRNA from 1 species